AUUGAACGCUGGCGGCAGGCCUAACACAUGCAAGUCGAACGGUAACAGGAAGCAGCUUGCUGCUUUGCUGACGAGUGGCGGACGGGUGAGUAAUGUCUGGGAAACUGCCCGAUGGAGGGGGAUAACUACUGGAAACGGUAGCUAAUACCGCAUAACGUCGCAAGACCAAAGAGGGGGACCUUAGGGCCUCUUGCCUUCGGAUGUGCCCGGGUGGGAUUAGCUAGUAGGUGGGGUAACGGCUCACCUAGGCGACGAUCCCUAGCUGGUCUGAGAGGAUGACCAGCCACACUGGAACUGAGACACGGUCCAGACUCCUACGGGAGGCAGCAGUGGGGAAUAUUGCACAAUGGGCGCAAGCCUGAUGCAGCCAUGCCGCGUGUAUGAAGAAGGCCUUCGGGUUGUAAAGUACUUUCAGCGGGGAGGAAGGGAGUAAAGUUAAUACCUUUGCUCAUUGACGUUACCCGCAGAAGAAGCACCGGCUAACUCCGUG
rnacentral:rRNA from 1 species